ACUAUGGUAUCAUGCUACAACAUGGAAGCCUAAAAGAAGUUGUCAUACUUUAGAUAUGAAACAUCUGCAUAUGAAACAUAUGUAUAUGAAAGUUCUCAUAAUUUACGAGCAAGCAAUAGAGGUUGAACUUAUUUUUGACAGCUCUAGGAACAUGCUCAUGAACAAUAUUGAAUUUGCAUUUUCAGGCACGUAAAUUUGCACAAGAUAAUCGACAACAAAGACAGACAAUAUGGAUAUACAACAAGAUAACACGGUGCUGAAAAAUUCAGAUGAAGUGGAUGAACAUGUACAGUUGGUUAGAAAUUAAAUUAAUGUAACUCAUGAGGGCGCACUACUUGGACAAAGCUAUGGGGUACAAGAACAGCAACACUACACAAGAAAACUCCAAGAAUUAAGUAAAGAGGAAUUAUUAGACGUUCAGUAUGGAAAGCAAAGUUCUCAAAUGAUUAGUGAGCUUCUAGCACCUCAAGGAGCCGUACAAUCGUACACAGAACUCAUGCAACAGAUGACUGUGGUGAGUCAUCCUCAGAGUGACAACAUGGCAAUCCCUAUAACAAGUUUCACUUCGCUAUUGACAACAAGCAUAAAUGCUUAGCAUCAAAAUCCAAUUACAAGCACCCAACGGGUUGAAGAAGAAGAAGAUGAUGAAGGAGAUGAAGCACAUGACUAUAAUUCUGAAUGCAACAGUGAUGAAAAUGAAACUGAUCCAAACGAAGAUUACCUAGAAUUCAGUAGUGAACAGAAUGAAAGUGAUGCAGAGGAAGAUUACCUGGAACAAAAUACAGUGAGUUGUGGUCAUUUCGGUGGAAAUCAUGAGCGUUCAGAAUUGCAGCUAUUAGAGCAGAGUUGGAACAAUUUUGAUACAGUUGUUGAGCAAGACUUGUUGACCACUCAAAAAUAAGAAUUAGCACAAAGCAAUCGGGGAGAACUGCAAGGACCUGAUCAUGCAGAAACAACAGAUUCAAAUGGCACAAGUAGGAGUGAUGAAUCAGAGUUUGAAA